CUGAUUGGCAUUCCUGGAAGCAGAAAGCAAGGCAGCUCAAGUUGUGUUCUGUUACUCAGCAUGAAAAACUUCCCAGGUAUACAUAAUACAAACAAACAGCAGGAGGAGAGGGUGCAAGAAACACUUCUAUCUCCCUGUCAAGUCUUCUUUUCCAGGGCUGUCUUGUAAACUUUGCAUUGCUUUAAAAAGGAAACAGGGCUUCCCUGGUGGUGCAGUGGUUAAGAAUCUGCCUGCUAAUGCAGGGGACAUGGGUUCGAGCUCUGGUCUGGGAGGAUCCCACA